GUUGAACGCUGGCGGCAUGCCUUACACAUGCAAGUCGACCGGCAGCACGGGAGCAAUCCUGGUGGCGAGUGGCGAACGGGUGAGUAAAGUAUCGGAACGUGCCCAGUCGUGGGGGAUAACGUAGCGAAAGUUACGCUAAUACCGUAUACGAUCUAUGGAUGAAAGCGGGGGAUCGCAAGACCUCGCGCGAUUGGAGCGGCCGAUAUCAGAUUAGGUAGUUGGUGGGGUAAAGGCUCACCACGCCGACGAUCUGUAGCUGGUCUGAGAGGACGACCAGCCACACUGGGACUGAGACACGGCCCAGACUCCUACGGGGGGCAGCAGUGGGGAAUUUUGGACAAUGGGCGAAAGCCUGAUCCAGCCAUGCCGCGUGCAGGAUGAAGGCCUUCGGGUUGUAAACUGCUUUUGUACGGAACGAAAAGGUUUGGCCUAAUAAGCUGAGCUCAUGACGGUACCGUAAGAAUAAGCACCGGCUAACUACGUGCCAGCAGCCGCCGUAA
rnacentral:rRNA from 1 species